CUCCCUCAUUCCUCCCCGACUUUGUUUUCUUCUUCCUUCUGCAUGCUAGUAUUGAGAACUUCGUCUCUAGCCAAUAUCUCUGCAAACCACCACCACCACCAUCGAAUUACCUACCCGAAACCGAGUCUUAUCUACCCAAAUUCGAAGGCAGAAACCAACCUAUCGUCGCAGCUCCUGCACCUCAGAGUCUACUCAAAACCAAGUCUUACCCACUAUCGCCGCAGCUCCUAGCACCUCUGCUAAAUAUAGCACCUCCUUAUACACACACACACGCACACACACAAAGAGCUACGCUUUCGCCGCUACGCAAUCUCAAACUCUGAUCCAAUCCACUCCGACCCUAUCUCCAAUAUGGAAGAUUCUUUUGCUACCCAAUUCGGACCUCCAGCCCCGACGCCUGUGCCUCAUCGAUGUUUCUUGUGAGGACGAUUCUCUCAUCGACUCCUUCACGCCUUCACCGGUGACUUCAAGUUUUCAGCUGAGUUGGUCUUGUGAAAUGGUUGAAGCCAUUCACUGAUGAAGUUCUUAUUGAGCUUGUCCAGAAGGGAGCUCAAUGUCUCCUUGUUGUUCCAGGUAUUUUCAAAUAUUAGAAAUUGUAUGAGAAAAAAGCAACAUUUUACGUUUAAUUGGUUUUACCCUCAUGCCUUUAUACUUUGGAAAGGAUGAAUAAAGUAUUCUUUUUGUUCCCUAUUCCUUACAAACUGCAUCGGUCACCAAACGUUUAGCUCUUGGACCCCUCAUCUCAAUAACCAGCUCGAAAUGGUUACUUCUCUGGUGAGAUUAUAUGCCUUAGAUGAGUAAAAACUGAUUAAAGAGUGUAGUUGCAAUUUAAAAAGCAGAAAUGUUAUCAGUUUGUAGUUACUACUGUUCUCAAUUGUGUAGUGACUAGUGAUCCAGAUUCCAGAUUUCUAUGGAUAAUAUGAUAUGUGUGUUUAUGAUCGGGGCUAAUAAAUUUUGUGCUAACAUUAGUGGGAUCCUCAUAAUCUAUCUAUAUCACCUAGGCAGUUUAAAAUUCCUCAUAAUGGUUUGUGGUCGUGGGUUACACUCUUAUUUCUAAGCAGACCAAGAGCUUCUUGUAGCCCAAAUUCCAACAUUUAGCUAGGUUAUCAACAAAGAAUAAUCAUAACCAUAUCAUUAAUCCAAUGUCACCUUGUAUGCUUUUUUUAUUUUUGUUUUAAGGAUUCAUAAUUUUGGACUGCGUUAUUAGGGGUGUUUUGUUUACAACCUUAAUCCAAUGUCGACUAAUCCAAUGUCAACUGGAUAAUGCUAAAGUUUUUUUGUUUUUGUUUUGUUUAUGACUAGUUUGUGACCUGAAUGUUAAUAUAUUCAAAUUGUUUGAGUUUUUCUUUUGGAGUAAUGACUUCGGUGUAAAGUAAAAUCAUGCUAGAGUUUGUUGUUCAUAUAAUGAUCUUUAACCGUGUGUGGUUUUUCAACAGUUUUUACUUACGAGGGUCAUAUAUUGAUUUUUUAAUGCAUAUUCAAAGGGAUAUUUUUUGUUGCUAUUGAUCCAUAGCAUGCCUCUUUCGGAUCAAAGACCUUUUAACAUUGUUUUGCAAGAGGUUACAGACUAUUUUCUUUAUUCAGCUUCAUUUGUGUGUGGUUUUUGCGAAUGGUUUGUCUUUUAUUCCAUCUGUAAAGAUAAAUGUAGUUGAUUAUUUGACGAGUUUUGUUUAUCUUUUCUACUUUGUAGCUUUCAGGAAGAGAGCGGUGCCAUAUUCUUAAAGUUGGUUUGUGUAAAUUUUUCUUUCUACCCCUGGUUAUUUUCGUUUUCUGAUAGUUCUUUGAGAUGCACGAGAUUCAAUUGAGUUGUGUAAGAGAAGCGAAACAUAGUAAUUGAAGAAAUAUAGAGCGUAUGACUUGGGCAAAGACAAGGUAGUGAUAUAACUAUACUAAGCAAGGAUAUUAACCUGUUGGCAAUGAAAAAAAGGCUUAAUGUAGGCUCACAAGGGUUAACGCUAAGGUGUCCCAAGCAGGGCACAAACAUGCAUACGGCUUUUGGCUUAAGUGGUGGAAUUCCUAAAAAGAUCCAACAAUCUUUUUCAAAAUCAGAGUAUAUUAUGACAUAAAGCUUCGAAAGUUUCACAAAGUGAGUUCUAGUAUUCUCUAGUUCAUUGCAAUUCUAUGACAUAUGAAUUGAUCAAAAUAGUUGUAAUACUCUCUAAAGAAAGGCACAUAUAUGGCUCGAAACUCAGAAAUGUUACAUGAAUUCAAACGAGUAAGGAACAUGCUCAUUAUGUACCUAAGUUUUAAAAUCUUCAUCUACUACAUGUUCGUACAAUUUCUACACAUUUAUUAACCAUCAAAUAGCAAUUAAGUGCAAUUAAAUAUCGUGAUCAUCUUUCAACCAUAAAUUCAAAGAUCAUACUCAUCCUAGACAGUUAAAGGCAUAUUUAGAACUCAAAACAAAAUCAAAACAACAUACAUAACAAAAAUCGAAAAACAAAACAUAAAAUUCAAUCUAAAAAUCGGAAAUCAAAGCAAGAAAAAUAAAAAUCAAAACAAAAAAAUCGAAACACGUAAGCAUCAAACAAUAGAAUACAACGAAUGAUGUAUACCCCACUCCACACUUAAAACAUACAUUGCUUUUAAUGUACAAUAGGAGCAACGAAAAUUAAAAAGAGAUAAGGGAUAAGAAAAUUUAAAUGAUAGGAGAACUUUGUGUGACGUUCUUAACAUGUUUUUACCUCCAGUUGUACUUUGCUUAGCUCUUAUUGUUGUAGUAUUGAGUCAUUUAGUAAGUUAGGAGUCUUUGGUAGCGUUGGUUGUAUUUUAAUGCUAAAAUAGGUUGAAAAACAAAGAAAUUGUCGAGAGUCCUAUUUAGAGUAGGAUUCCUUGUGUAACUAGGAAACCUAGUUAAAUUAUGAGUCUUCAUUAAUUCGUAUUCUAUAACAUUUGUGAUAAUAUGAGAAUCAUAUUUGUAUUAUGAGUUCUUUCUAGACUAAAAAAUGUACUAUUAUGAGUUUGUUUUAUGAAUUAUCUUGUCUUUUAUUAUUUUUAGAUUUUAAAAGAUGAGAUUGUAUAGCUACAAUGAAGAAAACAUAGAGAAAAAGUCAAGAAAAUGAGGAAAAUAAAUAAAGAAAGAGACACCUAAAAAAGAGAAGAAUAAGGAAUUGUCUAGACACAUGAAAUUAAUGAAGUAAAUCAUCUUCAUUAAAUAAUCAAAUCGACUAAGAACCCGACAAAAUGGCACACGUGGCCCAAAAAACAAAGUUGGUGUGGAUCCGAAUAAAACUCAUGUCAGCACAUAAACAGAUGAUCGUAAUCAAAACUACGUGAUUCCGACUUAAAUCGGAAAUUGAAUGUCAUUGACGAUUCGAAAUGGUAAUCAGACAUUUGAUUAAAUUAAUAAAUUCCUCAACGGUUAUAAUUAAAUAAAUUAUUUUCUAUUUAAUUUAGUUAUGAGAAUAACUAAUUUUAAAUUAAUCAGAAAAUACAUAUUGAUUUAAUUGUACAAUUAAAGAAAUUUAUUAUUUUAGUGUCAUUAAAAUAUUCUAUAAAAUAGAAGUCUUAACACUAUAAAUACCCCUUCGAAGGGGGACUGGAGAAGAAGAGAGAAAAUCAGUUGAGCAAGAUUAUUCUCGAGAAAUCUCGAAAUCUCCCAAGUUCACGAAGAAUCGUAAAGCUAUCAAAUCGCUCGUUCUUCAUCAAAUCCAAACUCAAGUCAACGAAGAAUCGUCAAGUUACCAAAUCGCUCGUUCUUCAUCAAAUCCGAAUCCAAACUCAAGUCCACGAAGAAUUGUCAAGCUACUAAAUCGCUCGUUCUUCAUCAAAUCUAAAUCCAAACUCAAGUCCAGAAGAAUCAUCAAGCUGUCAAUCGAUCGUUCCUCAUCAAAUCCAAAUCCAAAUCAAACUCAAAUUCUCAAGAUCAAGUGCAUGUCACCCUUGAGCCAAGUUACAUAUGGAGAUAGAAUCAAAAGAGUUCACAAAGAUUGUAACCCCGCGCUUGAUUAUAAAUAAAUCACAUUUUAUUUAUAUACGUGUCUGCAUUCUCAUUUGUUUUCAAAUUCUCGUUCUAUAAAUUGGCACGCCCAGUGGGACAUUUUUGGCCUCUCAUCUCUUUAUCCGAAGAAAUCUUCCAAUUCGUUUGUGCGAUGGCUUCCAAGAACAACCAAGUCGUUCCAUUGACGAAAUCCAAGUCCACAACCGCAAGGUUAAUCGGAGAGGCCGAGCCGGUCAAGAAAUCCAAACAAGCAUUCUCCAAAUUAAAGAGUGAACCGAUUUCCCUUGUCACUCGGAGCGUGGCUAGAGCUCAACCCACGACAUUUAUGACACUUGCUAGUAAGCCUCGUCAACUAGUCAUCACCUUGGAGAGCUUGGGAGUAAUAGAGAAAGCAUUAAAAGAGAAAGAGCCAAAGGAGAAAUCUCCUCUACCCGUUCAUGGUGAUGACUCUAUCCAGGAAAACGUUUUCUCUGAUGACGAAUCGAGCACGACAUCAUACCAUGAAAGUCCCAAAGAAGAUGACACUAACUUUGAUUAUAUGGAAAAUGAAUCCUCUUCUGACAAUGCGCAGGUCUUGGUGAUGGGGGCAUCCACAAUCGAGGAGCAACUCUCCAAUCUGUGGAGAUGGUUGAAAGCCUCACCCGAAUGGUUGAAGAAAAGGACGUGCAAAUCGCUGAAUUUUAUAGCAAGUUGGAAGAUCACGAUGAUGAGAACUCCACCAAAAGGUCGCCUGGCAGGAGCAAAGUAAAUGAAAAAGGAGAAACAUCCUAAAACGAUGGCGACUCGCUUGGUUCCUUAACACUCCAGCAAUUGCAAGACAUCAUCACCAACUCAAUUCGGGCUCAAUAUGGAGGUCCUUCUCGUGACUCUCUCACUUACUCCAAACCUUACACUAAGAGGAUCGACAGCUUAAGGAUGCCACUGGGCUAUCAGCCACUAAAGUUCCAACAAUUUGAAGGUAAAAGGAACCCAAAGCAACACGUCGCCCACUUUUUGGAGACUUGUAGUAAUGUUGGAACAGAAGGCGAUCACCUUGUCAAGCAGUUUGUUCGCUCAUUGAAGGGAAAUACCUUUGAGUGGUAUACAGACUUAGAGACAGGGUAUGUUGACAAUUGGGAUCAAAUGGAGCGCGAGUUCCUCAAUCGAUUCUAUAGUACGAGGCGGACGGUGAGUAUGAUGGAGCUAACUAACACGAAGCAACGGAAGGAUGAACCCGUGGUCGACUACAUCAAUAGAUGGCGCUCACUUAGCCUUGAUUGCAAGGACCGACUGUCAGAGGUGUCAGCCGUUGAAAUGUGCAUCCAAGGCAUGUACUUUGAUUUGCUAUACAUCUUGCAAGGAAUCAAGCCUCGUUCUUUCGAAGAGUUGGCUACUCGAGCCCACGACAUGGAGCCAAGUUUGGCAAGUCAUAAGGGAAAGAAUGAAUCCCUCGUUGACCAACAAAAAGACAAAGUCUUCGGAAGCAGAUUGACAAGGUUAUGAAGAAGUCUUCCAAAGAAUCAAUCGUCAUCAAUACUGCACCUGUUAAGAUCUCUAUGCGGGAUAAGAAGGAGUUCAAUAAGGUAGAACUGGCUCGAACUUCUUUAACGACUCUGAUGUGGCGGGCAUGUUAGAGGAUCUGCUAGAAAACAAGAUAAUAGAUCUUCCGGAGUGCAAGCGUCCAAAAGAAAUGCAUCGUGUUAACGAUCCGAAGUAUUGCAAAUAUCAUCGCCUCGUUAGUCACCCUAUAGAGAAGUGCUUUGUUCUCAAGGAUUUGAUAAUAAAUCUCGCCAAGCAAGAGAAUAUUGAGCUGGACGUGGACGACGUUGCUGAAGUCAAUUGCAUUACCGUAACAUUUGGGUCGUUCGAGCCAGUUCCACUCCCUUUUCACCCGGUGAAAGCACCAUUUCGUUUCACAAAGAAGGCGCGCGAACAUAAGAAGACUAAAGAAGUUAAAGAAUGUCUUGCUUCCACACCUAUCCUCCAAGUUUCCCCUAAUGCCGAUGAUGAAGGAUGGAUAUUGGUCACUCGGAGAAGGACUCGCAAAGGUACGAUGUCAAACUCACCGGUUGCCCGACCAAGUCAUAAGAAAUCACCUCCACGACGGGGAGAACGGACGAGGACGUUUUGAGACGAAAGUCGUUCUAUAUUUGUGGAAGCCACUUAACCGGAACUUGUCAAAAGGACACUUGUAACUUCAAUGGCCACAAGUUGUGAAGUCAGCUCCAAAGAAGACGAGAAGCCUGAAGUAAGAGAAAUAGGUGCAAGUCAAGUGUUAAAGAAAAAUAAGGUGUUGAAACAAUUGGAGAGUCUACCUUACCAACUUAGCCUCUCUGACUUGAUGCAAUUGCCAAAAUCAACAAGAUGCGCACUUGUGGAGUUUCUUAUCGAAGUAGGAAAACACUCCACAAGCAUGAAGAAAUGUGGCGCGUGUGAUGCAUAUUGUGAUACCAUUCACUUCACAGAUGAUGACAUCCAAUUGGGUUCUAAGCCACAUAAUCGGCCUCUUUUUGUGACAGGAUACAUGCGAGAACGGAAGUUGAAUCACAUGCUCAUAGACGGAGGGUCAGCAGUAAAUAUCAUGCCCAAGUCAACCAUGUCUCAACUCGGCAUCAACGUUGAUGAGUUAUCAAGGAGUCGUCUCAUGAUCCAAGGUUUCAACCAAGGAGGACAAAGAGCGAUUGAGAUUAUCAGACUAGACAUGGACAUUGGAGAGCUAAAAUCAAACACCUUGUUCCAUGUCAUUGAUGCGAAGACCUCGUACAACUUGUUGUUGGGACGACCAUGUGCCAUCCACUUUACACCAAUGCUUCAUGUUCUAUCGCGGAGGUGUGAAAACUGUGGUAGGAGAUACCAAACUAUUCACAGAAGCUGAAUCAUACUUUGCAGAUUCUAAAUUCUACACAGAUGAGGAGUCAAUGAAAGAAGUUCUUCCGGUCAGAGUACCCUCCACUUGGAAAGCCGCUAGAGUUAGGGAGUAAUGCCAAAUCAAAAGACGUUGAGCUUCAUGGUGAAGUGUUGCAAAAAGUCUCAUAUGAAGCAGAAACAUCAUUUGUGGAAAGAAAAGUCAGCCAUGCCUUUUCGGUCAUUCGCUAUGUUCCGAAGUCUAGAGAAAAGGAAGGGGAGUGUCCAUUUAUGGGGACAAAGUCACAAGAAUACCCACGAAAAUUAGAAGAUGAUGAUGUGAAAUUGUUGAAGGGGGAGUCAACAUUGCCAUUAAUAAAUGUGAGCAACCGAAAUCCUACAAAGCAUCCACUAAAGGGGUUUGUCAAACCAAUUCAAGGUAAGACAAAACAUGGAUUGCUGCCCAAGAAAAGAACAAGUGAAUGGUUCGAUCCUAAUGCAUAUAAGCUCUUAGAAAAGACUGGAUACGACUUUAGUUCAUCAAGCAAAAAGGACGAUCAAGCAGUAGUAAAGAAGGCGCAUAAGCUCGAUGAACCACAAAAGAAGUUAAGAGAGCAAGGGGCAACAUUUGAUUCUUCUAAAGUUGGUCUCGGUUUCACUUCGAGCAAGCCAAUUAGAAUUUCAGGAAGAAGAAGGGCGGAGUGAGCCAAUGUGCAACGUAUCAGUGUCGAGGUAGUUGAAGAGAAGAGACAAGAGGUAACAAUGCGCCUUCUUUACUGCUGCUGUUAACAAGAGGUAACCAUAAACCCUAAACAGGUAAUAAGUGGAUAUUGGAAGUAUUAGGAGGUCAUGAUGCAAAGGUGUUACAAUGCUUUUAGAAUGGAGAAGGAUGUAUUUUAUCGUUUAUGUAGUGAUUUGGAGGUCAAAUAUAGGAUGUUGGGUUCAAAUAGAACAAGUCACGUGGAAGUAGUGGGAUUGCUAGUAUAUAUACUAGAACAAGGGUGCGGUAAUAGGUUCGCACAAGAACGAUUCCAACAUUCUGGGGAAACCAUUUUUAGAUAUUUUGGAGAAGCGUUAGAUAUGUUGGUUGCCUGGUGAUGAAAUCAUCAUGCCGUUAGAUCCUGAAUUUAAUGGGGUUGCACCAGAGAUAGAAGGGGACAGAUGAUAUAUGCCACAUUUUAAGGUACUUAGUCUGUUACUUAAUUAGAAUAUUAUAAGUUACUUUAAUUAUUUUAUCUAUUAACAAAUAAUUUCAUCAAUUUAAGAAUUGCAUUGGUGCUAUUGAUGGAGUGCACAUUCCAGCUUUUAUAUCUAUUGAAGAGUCAGUACCAUUUUAUAAUAGAAAAGGAGUACCAACCUAAAAUGUUAUGGAGGCCUGUAAUUUUGAUAUGCAAUUUAUAUUUGUAUGUGCCGGCUGGGAAGGAUCUGCUCACAAUACAAGGGUGUUCCAAUCAGUUAUUCGAAAUCCUGAUAUAAAUUUUCCAAUGCCUCCAUCAGGUAUAAUUAAUUAAAUUAUUUUACUUUGGUCAAAAAUAUAUAUUAUUUUCUAAUUAAAUUUUGUUACAUAUAAUAUUUUGUUAUUUUAACAGGAAAAUAUUAUGUGGUAGAUUCGGGGUAUGAUGAAUGCUCGAUUACUCAACAUCAAUAUUUAACCCUGAACACAUCAUUAGUAGUAUAAAGCAAGAGGGUAUCGUUUACAAACCGGGGAUCCAGCCAGGGCUUAGGAUCACAAUACUUAACACGAAUUCAUAAAGAUAUAAAAAGUUGAUAUAGGUUUCAGAUUGAAUCAUAAAAACAGUAAAUAAAACUUAAACUAAUAUAUACAUGUGAUCAACCAACCAACACAUAAACAAUCACCAAAACAACUCACAUAAGAGAAUCGAAACAAGCUUCAUGACUUCCUUUAGAAUCAUGCCGAGACCAUAUAUUGAACAACUAAGGAUGGAUCAUGCAAUUAGGGUUCUAAGCAGUAACCUAAACACAGACACUUAACACAUUCGAUCACUACCAAGCAGCCAUAAUCGAAAUCUAACAUGUUUAUCUUCAUCAUAUAAUUCCAAAGCCAUGCACAUUGAAUUCAUCAAGUAUAUCACUUACUUAAAUAUCAUGCUACAAGCAUAGUCAUAACACUUAGAAAUCAAAAUUAUUCAAGAACAAUACUCGGUAGAAACCAAAACAGAAACUUCAUAAAACCAAAAUAUAAUUUCGAAUCCUUUAUAUAAAUUGAAUCAAGUAGCUAUUUCAUAGACAAAAUUGAAAUAAGAUUACACUACACAAAUCGCAAGCUUCAUCCAAGAACAAGAAUAAAACCAAAACCGAAUUUAAACAAGAGUGAAUCAUGGUUACACUUUAUAAAUCAAGCAAUCCACAAGUGUAUAGCCGUGACUUCUAUGGAUGAAACCUUCUUCACAAGCGUGCUUGAAGGCUAUUGAUUGGUGGGGAAUGAAGGAAUCGGUUUUAGGAUUUCUUGGAAGGGUGAAGGAUGAAUUCGGCAGAGCUAUGGCUUGUGUUUGUGUGUAAGGCUGAUGAUGAUCUGAAUGGAGAGGCUGAGCCUCUAUAUAUAGGGGUCUAGGAAGCCUUCUUGCCGUCCCAUAAGGGGAUAGAAACCAAUUGGGAAACUGAAAUCCUCUUUGUUAUGGAUUUGAUUCAUGUACUCCAUAUCCAACUUGAUGUAGGAAACCAAGUCCAAUAGGGAGACCACUUAAGGGCUGCACGGCAUUCUCUUGGUCCAACUAGGGGUAGCUAGGCCGGCCUCCUCUUCUCCUUCUUCAACUCGAACAUGAUUUCCUUGUUCAACUAGGAAUGCAUCUCGGCAUCUCUUCUUCCUUUCCAAAUAUGAUUUGUCUUUCCUGAAAAGAAAUCGUCGAUUAAGGAAUAGGAAAGAAUGAAAAUAGGAAAGUAAAAUCAUAGUUGAGUAAGGAAUCCUAGCUCAAUAACGAGUUCUAACACUUAGCACAAUUUCAUCAUCAAUUCAUCUAAAAUUUGAAAUAGCUCUCCUUAGAACAUAGAAAUGACAAAUAUGAAACUAAAACAACUAAAUAAGAAGUAACAAAGCAUAAGAAUAUGGCAUAUAUACAUUAAGAACGUUACACUUUGUGCUCCUAUCAGGGUACCCACAAAUGAAUGGAUUUCUGGGACCUUAUAGAGGACCAAAACAACAUUUUCAACAAUACCGCAGACAAGAGCCAAGAAAUGCGAAAGUGGUAUUUAACCAAGCACACUCUUCUCUUAGAGGCGUCAUAGAACGCACAUUUGGAGUUUGGAAAAAGAAAUGGAAGGUUUUAAGAAACAUGCAAGGUUAUUCAUUUCCAAAGCAAGUGAAGAUCGUGAUUGCAACUAUGAUACUUCAUAAUUAUAUUCGGAGAUAUGGAAAUCGUGAUAGACAUUUUAUCCGUAUUGGAGAAAGAUCCGAUGACAUGACACGUGACAUAGAGAUAGACGAUGAUGCAGAAGAUGAACAUCAUGCUCAUGAUGGUAUACAAGAAAUUGAAAGGAUAAAAAAAAUAGCAUCACCCAAAACUUAAUGAGUGCCCGUAAUGCUAGUUAUUAAUCUAUUGGUAUUAAUUUAUCAUUUUGUAGUCAUUUGAUGUCAAUGAAACUCAACGGUUAUUUGUAAAACAUAAUUUAAAAUUAUAAUUUCAUCAUAAUAAUUAGUAAUUAAUUAUAUCUAAGAAUAAUUUCAUAUAAACAUGAUAAAGAUUCAAUUAGCCAUAAAAUUAAAAUUAAUAAGUAUUACCAUUCAAUUAAAGUUAAAAUUUAUUUCAUGUCUAAAUUAGUUAUUUACAAAUAAAAAACAGUUUACCAAACACUUUGACAAUCUCUUUUCUACCAACAACACUUAAAAAAACUCAAGUUACCAAACACUCAGCCACUUUGCUUUUCAGCAGCUAAUUUUUUUUUAAAAAGCAGAAGCCAGCUUUUCUGUAAAGCCGAGAUGCACCAAACAUAAUCAAAAUUGGAAAGGAAAAAACAGACUCUAAACGGAAAACGCCAGAAUACAACAACGUAAUUAGAUUAGCAAGGAAGCAAAUCGGAGACAGAAUAUGUCGUAAACUGUGGCAGAAUGUAUUAGCCAUAACGCCUAAACUCUGAACUCAUGACAAGGCCUAACUCAUCCAAAGUACAAACGGAGACGAACUCCGAGCAUUAGCCUAAGAAGGGCAAGACUUGGUUGCCGUCGAGUCGAGUUGUUGAACCAAGAUCCAACCGCAGACUUUUCUCAACAAACAAAAGGACAAACAAUCACAGCCCCUGCAAUUCCUUAACAAAUCAAGGAGACAGGAUCAAACCCAAGGGAAGUGAUCGGCAGAACAACCAAACCCAACCCAGAGAUCUGGGACAAACACCACCUUGACACUCUAGAUCGAGGAACUCAAAUCGCGGUAUCAAAACGGUGUUGUGAACCCAAUCCCUACCAAUCGGCAAAGAUCACAACAUCUAGAUCAAGGAGAGGGGAGCCGCCGACAAACACCCGAACACCGAGAGCGUUGACAUCGAACUGGAGAUUAAAAGGGUUUGAUGCAAACAUGCUGUGAGAGACCGAAACAGAAAAGAAAAACACCUCUCCCAAACCAAAACACAGCGGCAGCGCUGGCUGUGCUCGGUUCGGAGAGAAAACAAAGAGCAAAAGGAGUUUUGGUCUUGGCAGUGGAGGAUGAGAGAAAACCCAGAGGGAAGGGUUUUUUAGGACUCUUUUUCUUGAGUUCAGCUGUUUAAAUGAACUUGAGUAUUGUGAACUUAAGUACUCAUGUUUUGAGCAAGAUAUAAGGUCUUCUUUGGCCCUGAGGUAAAACCGCAUUACGAAGCUUAUUUCAAAAUUUAUGUUACAGAUAAAAUACCUAUCACAAUCAGAAGCUAUGACUUCCCUAGGUAUAAUUUAAAAGUUGCUAAAAUGGUACCGGUUAUGGAAUCCAUAAGCUGAGACAACUUCUGUAACAUGUAUUGUAUCAACUUAACUUCACAUUCAUGUUAAUUUUAGUAAUUAGAUAUAUAAACGAUUAAUUUUUACACAACUCUUAUAAUUAUUGUCACUGCAAAGCUAAAGCUAUUUUGGAUUAAUUAAUUACCUAGAGGCCAAAAUAACUCUUGCAUUUUCCUUAAAUGGUCAUAUCGAAACAUAUGCGCGAUUGGGGAUUUGAGUUACCAGUAUAAUAGAUUUAAAGUUCUGGAUCUAAAUAUAUAAUUAUCUGCUAGUCAUUAUUUUACUUUGCAUUACGUUAUACAUAUGUGUGUUUAUAUAUCUUACUAUUCCCUGUUCCACUAAUGAUCGAGCUAAUAUCAAUUAAUAUGUAAUAUAUGUUUCCUCUAACCACUUAAAACGCUGCUCCUGGUUCCCUCACACAGCAUGGUAUGUAUAAAGGACACCCACAAAUUAAGGACAGACCGAAAACAACCUGGUUAGGGACACCAUUGAUGACCUUCCAGACGUACAUACGUGUCUAUAUAUAUACUUAUAGAGGAAGGAUCAAGAGAUGACAUCCUUAGUUUAAGAAUUUAAGAAUUUUUAUCAGUCUACAUAAGUAUAUAAUUUAAUUUGAUGAUUUCAACCAUUUAUCAUCUAGAUUCUUAUGCAAGUACAACGCCUACAAAAACAUCAACUAAUUCUAUAAUGAUUUGAUUAUUCAAAGUUGUGCAAACAAAUGUAAACCAUUCGAUAAAAUAUAAGAAAAAAUUGUGAUAAUUAAAUGGUUAAACGAUUUGCAUUUUGGCUAAUUUUUCCCAUGAUUCAUGUGUAUAAGUAUGUAGUGCAUGGUUGGUUUAAAUUGUUGAUUUACAUAUUGGAAAUGAAAACAUCCUCACUUUUGGAGUUUAAGGAUGUCAUUUCUUGAUCCUCCUUUAUAUAUAUAUAUAUAUAUAUAUAUAUAUAUAUAUUCAUUGUUUGUCAGAUAUCCAGAACUUGGAUCUGGAGAAUUUGUAUCUCAGAGUUCAAUGGUGAUUGAUAAUUAAUUUUUCUCUUUACAGUCAAGAUCGAUUUAGUUGAGGGGGUGAGAAACCAUGACAUUAUUCCAAGUUUGACUCAAGGCUAUGAUCAAUAUCAGAGUUGAGUAUAUAUACUGUCCAUGCAUGUUAAGCGUGUAAAUUAUGCUUCGCAUAGGGAAUGCAUCCUAACUUCUCAUCACUCGUUUUUGAAAUUACUAUGUACAAUUGGAUUUAUUAGGGUACACGGCGAAAUUGGUCUCAACUCGUAAAUCGAUCUCAUCACAAGUAUAUAUAAUUAUUGGAGUCUAGGUCGUGAAAGUUGACCGAAUACAUGGAAAUGGAAAGAAAAAUAUUCACGUGGGAAUUGAACAUAUAUCCGCGAGCUAAUUAAAACAAGUAUUUAAUGGGUGAGGAACGAAGAAGAAAUCAAAAGAAUCAAAAAAAUGGAAGAGCACAGUUCAGCAGCAAAGUCUGGGAUGAGUGAUAAUAAUAUUGCUCUCGUUUCUUACAAGCUCAUCCCGAAUGCGGGAAGUAGCUUUCUUCAGUCAGCAACGAGGGUUUUGUUCAAGUGUUUGGGUAUUAACGUCGAAGUUUCAUCAAACACACAAGUUUCUGAUCAAUCACCAGACGUGGAUCAAGAUGCAUCAACCAAAGCAGCGGAUCAAACCUCUGCAGGAGUUGUUAUCGUCGCCAGGAGUGCGUUAGGCACAGGGGGUGGUGCACAGAUAAAUUGAUCAGUCUUGUUAUUGUGAAGGAGCCAAAGAGGUUGACUAAUUACAAAUAUGCUACUAUGAGCCUCUCGCAAGCAAAACCAGUUCUUUUUUUCUAUUAUUUUCUCAAUAAAAUUAGGUUUUGCUCAAGUCAGCGGGAACAAGUUCUUGCUUAAUUAUAUGUAGUAUACCUAGCUAUUUGAUGUAUGCAUGAAGCAUAUAUACAGUUAGUCAAGAGCUGUAAUAUUUCUUAGCUUAUGAAACCUGUAUAUUUCCACCUUGUCUUCUGGUUAAUUAGAUAUGUAUAUAUAUACU